ACGGCUCAGUAACACGUGGACAACCUGCCCAAAGGUCCGGGAUAACCCCGGGAAACUGGGGAUAAUACCGGAUAAAUCACAAAUACUGGAAUGGUUUUGUGGUUGAAACUUCCGGGGCCUUUGGAUGGGUCUGCGGCUGAUUAGGUUGUUGCCGGUGUAACGUACCGUCAAGCCUGUAAUCAGUACGGGUUGUGGGAGCAAGAGCCCGGAGAUGGAUUCUGAGACACGAAUCCAGGCCCUACGGGGCGCAGCAGGCGCGAAAACUCUACAAUGCAGGCAACUGCGAUAGGGGAACAUCGAGUGAUACUCAUCUUGGGUGUCUGUCCUCCCGUCUAAAAAACGGGAGUUAGCAAGGGCCGGGCAAGACCGGUGCCAGCCGCCGCGGUAAUACCGGCGGCUCGAGUGGUGGCCGAUAUUAUUGAGUCUAAAGGGUCCGUAGCCGGCUUUGCAAGUCUUUUGGGAAAUCCAGCGGCUUAACCGUUGGUCGUCCGGGAGAUACUACAUUGCUUGGGACUGGGAGAGGUAGGAGGUACUCAGGGGGUAGGAGUGAAAUCCUGUAAUCCUUUGGGGACCACCGGUGGCGAAGGCGUCCUACCAGAACAGGUCCCACGGUGAGGGACGAAAGCUAGGGGCACGAACCGGAUUAGAUACCCGGGUAGUCCUAGCCGUAAACGAUGCUCGCUAGGUGUCACAACAAUCGUGAAUUGUUGUGGUGCCGUAGGGAAGCCGUGAAGCGAGCCACUUGGGAAGUACGACCGCAAGGUUGAAACUUAAA
rnacentral:rRNA from 1 species